rnacentral:autocatalytically_spliced_intron from 1 species
GAUGAUAUAGUCCGAUCUCUAUGGCGACAUAG